rnacentral:lncRNA from 1 species
UCUGGGCAUCAGAGCAAGACCCUGUCUCUAAAAAGAUAGCCCAAAUUUAUGUGCUGAUUUUCAUUCCUGCCCUUCCUGAUUUGGGGAGUGCUGCAUUCGGGCACCCUCGGAGCCGUUCGAAAUGUCAAGACGGUGGCUUCUGCCUCAGCCAGUUGGAAUCGGCCUGUGUCAAUUCUUCAGGGAGUACAUCUUUUAUCCACUCUGGAAAAUUCCAAAUAGUGCCCUAGCAUUGUCUCAUGUGAGUGAGGUUCUCUGAGAUCAUACAUCAAGGGGAAGUGUCUUAUUUAAGAUUAAAAACCGGAACUAAACUAAA